rnacentral:rRNA from 1 species
GACGAACGCUGGCGGCGUGCUUAACACAUGCAAGUCGAACGGAAAGGCCCUGCUUUUGUGGGGUGCUCGAGUGGCGAACGGGUGAGUAACACGUGAGUAACCUGCCCUUGACUUUGGGAUAACUUCAGGAAACUGGGGAUAAUACCGGAUAGGAGCUCCUGCUGCAUGGUGGGGGUUGGAAAGUUUCGGCGGUUGGGGAUGGACUCGCGGCUUAUCAGCUUGUUGGUGGGGUAGUGGCUUACCAAGGCUUUGACGGGUAGCCGGCCUGAGAGGGUGACCGGCGACAUUGGGACUGAGAGACGGACCAGACGCCUACGGGAGGCAGCAGUGGGGAAUAUUGCACAAUGGGCGGAAGCCUGAUGCAACAACGCCGCGUGCGGGAUGACGGCCUUCGGGUUGUAAACCGCUUUCGCCUGUGACGAAGCGUGAGUGACGGUAAUGGGUAAAGAAGCACCGGCUAACUACGUG